AAUCCAGAUCCUUGACCCACUAAGCAAAGGCCGGGGAUUGAACCCACAUCCUCAUGGAUACUAGUCAGAUUAAUUUUUGCUGCACCACGAUAGGAACUCCCUUGUUCCCUAUUUUAGCACCUCCUAUAGCUCCUCCUAUUUGCAUAUUCCUUUUCUAGCAGAGUCUCCCUGCAUGAUCCAACUAUCACCCUUUACCUCAUCCACCAACACCCAUUCAAGUUAUUUUUCACAGUAUUACUUCCUAUGGUCAUUUACUUAGGCCCCACAAAUGGCUUCUAUUACCUUUGUUUUAGUCUAAUCCACAGUUUGUGAUGAUGAAGUUUCAGGUGGAAGGGGUGUGUGCUGUCUCUUACUCUGUAUAUAUGCAUUUGUGGGUAGCAGAGGGAGGGGAGAGGAGGAGAAAGCACAGUGUGUGUUCUGCAAUGGAUAACUUGAAAGCACAGAAUCUUGAGACUGUAUAUUAUUCUAGGAUUUAUGACAUUCGAAGACUCAUAAAAAGAAAAAUUCAUUCCCUGUGAAUAGCAGGAAGAGCAAUUUUUUUUUUUUCCUUUUCCCUCCCUAGAAAAAAAAAAUGAAGAAUUACCAUGUAUACCUCUUAGCCAAGAGCUUAAAUUCUGAUCUAGGGACUGUUGGAUAGAUAGGUAGAAUCCCACUAAUUCAGGUUAAAAAAAAAAAAAAAAAGACAACUUGAGACCAAGAAAGUUCAUGUGUUUGAGGGGUGAACAAUGCAUUGAACUGCCAUGAGGUAGGAGGACUUAAUUCUGAUUCUUAUCAUCCACUAUCUGUGUGACGUUGGGCAGUUUACCAAAGUACUUUCACCUUCAGUUUCCUCAUUGGUACCACUUAGCAUAAUAUCUUCCCUGCUACCUUACAGGGUGGUUGUGGACAUGAGGUGAGACAAUGACUACAAAAACCCCUUGUUACUGGAAUAGGCAUGCAUACAGAAUAGGCAUGCAUACAGAGCCCCAAGAUCUCUCCCAAGCUCAGCUAUGUCUGACACCCAGACCCCAUCAACAUGGCAGUGCCUGUGCUUGUGUUUUCCCUCCAGUCACUGUCUCCAGGAUAUAGAAGCUUGUUGGCAAAGGGAAAAUAAUACAAGACAAAAUUCUGCUUCUGUCAUACAAUCCCUUAUCUCAUUUUUCUGUCCUGUUUUGUAAAUAGUGAUCUACGUAUAUUUUGGUGAGCCUACAAGAUUACACCAGGAUUCCCCCAAAUAGCUCCUUAUAUGGGAAGGGUAAACUGUCUAAUCCAGGGAGGCUUAAUUCUAUGAGACAUCAGGGAUUUAAGGGUUAGGAUGGCAGUUGACCAUUAUCCAGCCAUGAUGGACCUUUGGGCAUCAUAUUACCUAGCCUAUUGCAACCCUAGUUUCCUCAGGAAGAACUCUAAAAUGAAUAUUUUGAAUAAUAUAAUUUCUAGUUCUCUUUCAGCUCUAAAUUCUAUGAUCCUGAGCCUACCACACAUGCUCAGCUUUUCUUUCUUUCUUUUUUUUUUAAUGAUGACCAAGCAAAAGCAAAGCCAGCCAGAACCUAAAUAAUCAAAAAUAAUUAACCAAUUAAUUACACAUUUUAUUUGUUCAACAAUUGUUUUUUGAAUAUCAUCUUUAUGCCAGUUCUAGGUACUAGGAACAAUGGGGAAAACAAGAUAUGCAAGAUUCCUGCUCUUAUGGUGCUCACUGCUCAGUAGAAAACAAAGAAGUAGAAAGAGAAUAAGGAAUGAACAGAGACAUGUGCUAUCCAAUGUGGAAUUUUCCCUAUUGAGGGCCAAGAUCAUGUCUUAUUCACAUGUCUGGAGCUUUGGGAAUCUGUAGUACAGAAGAGAAAUUUUAGGCAAUGAUGAAGAUUGAGAUUCCUUCAGAAAAACAUGGGGACUAAAAAAGCAUCAGGCUGAGGAAGGGGACCCAAUGAAGACCAGCUUUCGCGAAGUCAGCAGAAGAAAAGUAUCUGCUAAGGAAGACUAAAAAGAAAGAGGAGAAUCAGAAGAGAUCCACAUUUGGAAUCCAAGAUACUUUAGAAGAAUGAUGCAGAUUUUAUGCAUUCAAUGAACAAUGUGUUGAAUACCUACUGUAUGCCAAUGAACAUUCGAGGUGUUGGGGAUAAAAUGUAGAACAAGACAACUCUGUUCUGCCUCUUUGGAGUUGAUGCUCGAGUAUGGAAAAUGGAAACUGAGGGAAUAAUUACAUGCAGUGUGGAACUGGAGUCCUGGUCCGUUUCAAACUGGAGACCCAAAGCUUAUGUCUGGCAAGGGCUUUGACUGGCUCCUUUUUCAUUUCCUUCACACUUAUUCAUUAUUCCUGAUCCUGCCGGCUGCGAUUUCUGAGUCCUUGAGAGUUUGAACAAGGCGAAAAAAAAAAAAAAAAAAAAAAAAGGAGAAGGAAAGAAGAGGAAGGGCAGCAGGAAAGGCCCCAUUGACAGAAGUGACACUGCUGACAGCGUUCUUUCUCGGAGGCAGUUUACAUGCCACAGAAUGUGCUGAAGUCGUCUGGCAGCUCGCAUGAUGAGGGUAAUCAUGCUCCCAGACGCGGUCCUCGUGCACCUGCGCUUGGCGGAGGCAGCGGAUCCUCACCCCCGGCUGGGCUCCUCCCCUCUCUCUUCACAGCUCCCCUCCUCCCCCCCGCGCAUGGGCUGCUCUCUUCCCACCCGGGAGUGUCAGUGAGGGAUCUGGUGCGAAGGGGUGGGAGAUUGAGUCUUUGCUUCCCAGUGUGCUGUCACCUCCUAAUGUACUGGACUCCUGGGAGUGCAUGAAGGCUUCUUAUAUGAAGAGUAAUGGGCUAACUUACACAGCAAGAUGAGAAAACACAUACCACUUAGCUCUCUAGCUGGGUAGAGCCAGAGUCCGGGUUAAAACCACAUGGUAGGAAGCAGCUGUCAUGUGCUGGACUAAAGUCUAUUUCUUGUGGAAUGUUCUCGGAAACAUCAUUAGUUAUUGCGAAUAGGGAGCGAAGUUGUUGCUUGAAACACAGAGGCAGUCCGUUAUAUGUAACAAGUAGUUACUGAAUCACUCCAGCUCUCUCUCCUCUGGAUACUGGUAGCCUCUGCUGGCUCCAAGCGACUCUCCAAAAAUGUAUGAGAGAUAAGCACUUAUUUUCUAUUUUAAUGGAAAACAUGUGCUCCAAGAAUUAAGAGGAGGGUUUGUUAACUGAUUGACAUGGGUGGGAUGCCAGAUCUGGAAGGGAAGGCAGAAUUUACAUAAGGGUAGAGAAAGAAGGAUCAUGAGACAAGCAGAGAUUUAAAAAUUUUUCCAGGUCCUAUGGGAUGUUAUUAGAGUUGAGGGAACUCUAUCCAAUCUUGUGGGAUAGACCAUGAUGGAAACGAAUAUAAAAAAGAACACAUAUGUAUAUAUAUGUAUGUGUAUAUGUAUGUAUAUGUAUAUCUAUAUAUCUAUAUAUAACUUAGACACAUUGCUGUACAGCAAAAAUUAAUAGAACAAUGAUACUUUAAUAAUAAAAAAAGAACCAAUAUUAGGUCAUGAGUGUUCACCAAAAUAGUGCUUGGGGGAGCUGUUACUAUAUAACACAGUUGGUAGGAACAAAUAUGAAAACGGAGAAAGAGAGGGAGAAUGAGAUAGAGUUGGAAGAAGGGAUUAAUUACUCCAAGAAGGAGAAUUUGAAUCUUGAAAUUUAAAAAGUUGAGACUUUGUUGGUCUUAGAAGGCUUAAGGAAAGAUUAUCCCAGUAGUUAACAGGUAAAAUUUCACUUGCAUAAUAAGAAGCCUAGAAAAGGAGUUCCUGUGUUGGACUGCAGCUUGAAGGAGAGAGGGUAAGGUAAAUAAAAGAGAAAAUGAACAAAUGCCUUCACUGUGAAUGGUUCCAUGUGUCCUCCCUUUUUCUUCUAGGACUUUAUUUUUUUUAACGACCUGUAUAUCAUUUUGAAUUAUUUGGAAUUUUAAAAAAGUGAUUCAGCUACUUUAUUGUCCUGUUCCAGUAAAUAAUACAUUUCCCUAAUAACAGUGCUAGUGCAUGGGCUGUAUGGUGUGGAGCUACUACUGUCUGUUAAAGAAAUUAAACUUCUAGGUCUUUGUUACAGAAACAAGAACCUGAAAUCAAUUGUGGUGGAUGGGAAGGCAUCUGCCCAGUCUCCUCGCUGCCAUGUUUUACUUUUUACCUCCCAUUGCCCUGCAUCUAAUGAACUAUCCUAUCUGAAGGAUUUUCUGUUGUGUACUUUCUACUCCUUUCUAUGCCCAUGGCAACUAUCCAUACUGCAACGCCCCUGCCUUUCACCUGGACAUCGUCAGCUUAUCCUCACUCAGUCCAAACAGCACCAUUUGAGUAUUCAGGUAGGAGCUGGGAUUGUAAUUAUGCAUGAGAGUCAGUCCCUGUUUUUAAAUUGUCCUUAGUCUAGUUAAGGAGCAGGACAAGCAAGCUGACAAUGGAAAUACUAUUUUAGAGCAAAGAAAUGGAGACAUUUUCAGCACAUAUAGGAGGGCCACCCAACUGAGGCAGAGGUUCAAGGGUGAUUUUGGAGAAGGAAGGGAUGCCACACUAGUCAGAGAAGGCAGGUGGAAAGGAAAUGACUCAGCAAAGGUUUGGAGGUGUGAGUGGCCAUGGCACGUUCACGGAACUGUGAGGGGUUCUGAAUAACAAUCCCAGGAAAGCGGGUAAUGGGAAGACAGUAGCUAAGCAAGGAGACAGGAGCCGGCUGUGUUGGGUCUGUGUUACAUUCGUUUGUCAUUGUCACGCAUCUGUUCAUGGAUUUGAGUGUUUACUAUGCACAAAGCUAGAGACUAAGCACCAUGUCUUUAAGGAAACUAAGAAUCAUUUUCAUCAUUUGUUGAUGAGCAAAAUCACAGGUGAGGUGACGUUGGCACUGGAUGCAGAGAGGAGAAAGGGCUGACCAAUGCCUGACUGAUGCCUGACCAGUGACCUUCUACCUCUGCAGUCCCCAGACCUCAGCUGCAGAAUGCAGCUUCACUGACAGUGCAACUAAAUUUCAGGUUAACUUUCCUCUUUUUGUAGGAAAAUAUAAAUCUGCGAAGGAUGAUGGGGCAUUCAGCAGUGAGGAAAUGAGUCAGGGACUAAGUAGAAGCGAGCUAGAUGGUUGGGCAAUUUUCUUAAAUGCUAUAUGAAAGGAGAAUCUUGAAAAGGAAUAAGGUUUGACUUGACUCCUUAUUCAGAACUUAUAAACAUGCUGGGCGGCAUGCACUAGGCAGAGCAUCAGUGCAUUAGGAGCUGUAAUCUAGUUGAGUUUCUACAAAGUAACUCCAACCAAGAAAUGAAAAAUGAGGGUGUUCGAUUUCUACAGAAUCAAUUUUUCAAAAAAAAAAGGUAGUGAGUAAUGGAUGCAACAGAAUGGAAUAACUGAAUAAUACAGUGGAAAGGAAUUAGGAGCAAAAAAGGGAAAUGAGAGUGCUUAAAGAUAACCUUAUCCAGGGCAAAGGGUUAUAAACUACCAUUUUUAACCAUAAAGGUACUCUUAGGCUGAGGAAAAGAAUAAGAAAAAUAAAAAGUAAUUUAAGAUAAAAAAAGAGAGAAACAUGAAAUAUUAAACACACGGGCCAUGCAAUAUUGAAAAGGUGGAGCAAAAUUAAAAUAAUAUAUAAGCUUUGACAGUUUCCACUUUUGUUUAAAGCUGUGUUGCUUCAGCCUGUCUCCCAAACCAUUGCCACGUUCCUGGUGGCCCUUGCUCAAAGCCUCUGGGGGAAACACUGAGCUCUACUAACUUUUCCUUUCUCUCUCUCUUCAGGCAACUCAGAGUUACUAUCCCUUCUGUCUGCAAAUACCAGUCCAGCCACCCAGCUGGAUGAGUCUUUGUUAAACUUCAGGUCUUGCUCCAGUUCUUGGAAUUAUGCAAUAAAAGAGAGUGCCUGCUUCUGAGACAGAGUGACCAAGGUUCUGGAGACAAAAUGAUGAAGCUGAACUCUCAAAAAAAGGUGAACCUCUCCUUCUGGAAUCUGUGCUCUUGAAGUCUCUUUCCUCUUUUAUAUAUAUUAUACAUACACACACACACACAUAUAUAAAUUUU